rnacentral:rRNA from 1 species
GUUCGGGACAACCACUGGAAACGGUGGCUAAUACCGGGUAUGCCGAGAGGUGAAAGGUAAACUGCCUGGAGAUGAGCUCGCGUCUGAUUAGCUAGUUGGUGGUGUAAGGGACUACCAAGGCGACGAUCAGUAGCUGGUCUGAGAGGAUGAUCAGCCACACUGGAACUGAGACACGGUCCAGACUCCUACGGGAGGCAGCAGUGGGGAAUUUUCCAAUGGGCGAAAGCCUGACGGAGCAAUACCGCGUGAGGGAGGAAGGCUCUUGGGUUGUAAACCUCUUUUCUCAAGGAAGAAUAUUGACGGUACUUGAGGAAUCAGCAUCGGCUAACUCCGUGCCAGCAGCCGCGGUAAUACGGAGGAUGCAAGCGUUAUCCGGAAUGAUUGGGCCGUAAAGCGUCCGUCGGUGGCUGUGUGUGUCUAUUGUUUAUGAGUUUGGCUCAACCUAAUAAGGGCGGUAGAAACUACUCAGCUAGAGUGCGUUCGGGGCAGAGGGAAUUCCUGGUGUAGCGCUACAAUGCGUACAGAUCCGGACGAACACCCGUGGCGAAUGCCCUCUGCUAGGCGGCAACUGACACUGAGGGACGAAAGCUAGGGGC